AAAAUAUAAUACUAAAUAUAUUUUUGGUUAUGUUAAUUCUUGAAUGGUUAUGUUAUAAAAUUAUACGCAAGUUAUGUGGUGAUAUUGCUGCCAUGAAUGACGUAGAGUUUUACCGAAAUAGGUAACAUUAACAGUUUAUUACACAUAAGCAUGCAGAGUGCCGGAGGAGCGAUCGUGAGGUGCACCGAUACGAUAUCAGCUCGAGCAGUAACCUUGAAACAUUUGAUAAACACAAGAUGAAAAUCGAUACGACAAACUGAAGAGUGAAGUUUGCGAUCGAGUGGAGCGGCACACACGCUGUUCAACUCCGGCUUAACUUUAACCCACAUAACAAAGUUCAAUGUAAACACAAUAUGCCAGAAGUUUCCGAAGUUCCAGUUCACGGCCGCGAGGCGACCGGGCCGCCGUCGCCGCCGCGGCGCCUCCUCGCGCCACCAUCCCUCUCACCCUCGCCGGCCGCGCGCCGCCACUGCCUCGCCGCCGCGCCCCUCCGACAACUUCUGCCGUUAUUGCCUAAACUUCUCUACGAGACGAGACGCCAGUCGAGACGCUUUCGCUGUUCUACAGUUUUGUCAGCCGGUGUCAAUGUGCUAUAGUUACUUCUCUCAUGCUUAUUGUAAUUAUGACUUAAUUUAUUUGAUUGAUAUAUUUUAUAAAACACUAUGCAUGCGUGAAGGUAAUGCCAGGCGGAAUUAAGAAUCAAAAAUACGAUGUUGAGCAUGAGCCGAACACUUGCGUAUGCUGGAAUAUGCGGUGAUCUAGUUCGUUAUCAUCAUACAUACAUAAAUAAUCUGUUUAGCUUACCAUCAGCGAACUCAUGUUAUCUAGUAAUAUACAAUGCGCACUGAAUUAAUAUACCUACUGCCUACCUGGACUAGUUCAAAUAACAAAGAGUUAUAUGGCAUUAUUUUUGGAUACGGCUAAAGCUGACUAAAGUUACUUAUAUUGUUACAUAUUUACGGACUUAGAAAGUAAACAGAAAUUCUUAAGCAGCAUCUUUUAGACCAAUGUGUUUCCAUGGCUUAAAAGACAAAAGCAUAGUACGAAAGUUGGAAAGCACAUGACGUAUUAAAGCAGGUGUAUAAUAUGUGUGUCUGCGUGUUCGUGCACACAACUACACACCUGUACAAUGUACAGUGCUCCAGAAAGCGCACACCUUGUGUCUUAUCAUCUGACACCGUUUGAUAUGCGCCUUUACACCUUAUCUAUAAUGUCGAAAUUCUUCCACGUAUCACGUAUCCUAGUCAUGUAACUAAAGACAUUUAUACGCGCUUUAUUAGAUACUUAUGUGUUUAGAUACUAGACAAUUAUUGUAUUUAACACUCAUUUAUAAACUUGUAGUGGUUACAAUUCCUAUACUCUGUCUUUAAGGAUAAUUAAGUUCUAUUAAAGGAUCUAUUGUAUAUAAUAAUUUUAGCAUGCUUCUCUGUCGAUAAUCUUAGUAUAUUGCUGUUAAUGUUACACACUUUGGCAGUGGGCUAUUUAGGCGCAAGCGUUGAGUAGAGACAAUAGCUGCUAAUGUACUCCAUUUCGUAUCUAUUUGUAUUUACGUCUAACAGUGAUGAGAAAAUAGUGGAUUUAUCUGUCAACGAGAUAAUUAUAAUGUAAUAAAGGUGUAUCUCGAGUGUAAACAAAACGACUAGUCGGUGUGGUGGAGCCGCCGGCAGCAGACAGCGGCCCGGGCGCAGCGCUGCGCCGCGCGCCUUAUCAUCGAUGCCUUGCCGAUUGGUGGAGUGAAGUGUUUGCGCGACUGAUACCGCCCGCGGGGGCCAAUCGAUUCCCUGUUUCGUCGAAUCUUAUCAAAAUCAUGGUGGACGUUCGUACCUCGUGUCGGUUCCCUGAUAUCGUAUCUAAAGAUAUCGACGAAAGUAUAAAUAUGAGCCCAUCGAUCGAUCGGCUCUCUAUCGAAGUGCAAGCUGUGAUCGCUGUUCAUGUGGGGUGAGUCGCGCGUGCGUUAUUGGACUGUUUGAAAUCUCACCGGCAGCUUCAACUCCUCAGGGUAGCUGCUACUGAGUCUCCAACCUACGUAGAGCCGAUCCUGGUCGUUGACAGCGUGCGGAAAUUCUUACUCAGGGACACAAGGUUGGUUAUCGAUCACCUUCGACGUGGCACUGACGCCUCAGUGUUGCCGUGUCUUGUGAUAAAAUUUUCCGUCAUCCAACAUAUAAUGUUUCUAGUAUCUACUUAUAUAUUACGAUCAGCUUCGAAUCGUCUCGCGUCUCACCGUUGUCACUGUGGAAAUAAACGUCGGUGAUUACGUAAUAACAUAUGGUGGUCCAAUGGCACAUGUGUUCCUUGAGUCCGUGUCACCACGGCCGCCGGCUAUGUGUUCUUAUUAUCCCGUCAAAGCCAUUAUUAUUACAUUUGCGAAUAUGUACAUUCAUUACAGAACUAUGCAGGAUCGCUAACGCUACAGGGAAAAGCGACGCUGUUAUCAAAAAACGUUAACUGCGCCUUUUCGAGCGGUGAUAGCACACAGCCUGGUAUCGCGUGCAGUGCGCGCGCGUCCCUGGUCACACUAACCAAAUGUACAAUGUCUGUUGUAUAACAAUAAUAAUUUGUUUAAUUUACAGGUGGAAAUUAUACGAUGUACUACGCGUCCAGUAAUAUUACAGGCCUCACGUCUGAGUUGGACAGGGGAUCUUGACAGUUUAAUGUCACUUGCUGCCAGAUCUAUCUUUCCAGCUCACGCGUGAGGCCGCCCCACGCCACCAGGAAGAAUCUAUCAACUCGUAAAGCACAUCCCAGCGACUAAAAUGAAGAUGUGAGCGUACCAGAUUAAGUGGAGGUGUGAUCUCUUCACUUUUUAUGUUUAAAGUGAGAUUCAACUCCUCCAACUUAACCCUGAAUCGCAAUUUCUGCGCACUCCUGAAGAAGACUCUGACGUAAUGAUUUCUUAUGUUUACGUGAAUGUUAAACAUUGAAAUAAAACUAUUUUGCGGAUUUUAUUGCGGUUUUUACAUUAUAAUUUUCUAUUCUAUUUCUAGACAAAGUUAUUUACCUACAUUUUACAGUUAUACAAUAUUGAAAAAUGUAGGUAGUUAUUAUAACUUUGACUUCUUGGAUGACCAACAUCACAGUUCGCCCUUAAACCAUGAAGACUGCAAAGUCUUCGAAACGUAGGAAGAAAAUUAUAAUUUAAAACCGCGAUAAAAUCUGCAAAAUAGUUUUAUUCAAAGAUCUUGAUGCUUCAUCUGUAGAAAUAUUUAAUUUUGUACUUUCAUAAAAUUUUAUGUCAUAAAUAAUAAUGUACCUAUCUCUCGAAAUAAUACAUAAUGUAUGAUGUUACAAUAUAAAAUGUUACAAUUCACAUUAUAACCAUUCAUAUUAUACCUUCCCUACAUCAAAUACUGUUGUGUUUUUAUUGUAAAAAUGAUUUAUUAUAAUAUAACUAUGGCUGAUAACUUAGUUUUAUUUACUAUAAUGAAAAUAUUAACUAUUUUUAAUAUAUAUGCCCAUCAAAUAAUUUAUAGUUGCACCGAAAUACCCUUUUAAUCGUUAAUUUAAUUUCGGUUCAAACGUUGGCGCCACUGUGCCGUUCUAGCGAGUAUUAUGAAAGACCCAACUCGUUCCGACCAGUAUGAAGUGUGCCACAAAUCACUAGAAAAAAAUCACAACACAGAAAACAAAAAAUGGGCAAAAAAAUGUUGGUAACACCGGUGCGCUAAAAAAGCUUGCAAACUUCACGCACCUAACCUGCGCUGGACAUCGACUCGUCCGUAUCUCCAAACUCUGGGAAAAUGUAUAUUGAUUUUUCAAAGAAAAGUCAACCGAUGUAACAAAACACUACUCGUCGAGUGUUUAUACGCGAAGUGAAGUGCCGCGGUGGACGUGCAGCGUCGUCGACAUGGUGCGACGGGGCCCGUCGGCGCGCCCCGAGUGAGGUCGGAGAGAGUGUCGCGUCGCUCGGCCGACGGCCCGCAGCCCUGCGGCCGCGGUCCGGCGCGUCAUGGACGCCGGCGCCGACCCGCUGCGAGCCGCCAGGCCGGAGGAGGGCGAUGAUAAGCCGAAGCCGCCGGAGAGCCAGGACGACGGGUACGAGACGAGCAACAGCGGCGAGGCGGCGCGACGCAAGCCCUCCAGCGCCGAGGGCUCGCCCGCGCCGCCGCCCGAGCCCUCGCCGCCGCCCGACCCGCCCUACGAGCCCAUGAUGCGCUACCCGCAACCAGAACCAGAACCCUAUAGACAUUUCGAGCAGCCCGCGCCGCCGGGGCUCUCGGCGCCGGAGCCGCAGUACUUCCCGUUCCCCAAGUACAGCGAGCCGUACGCGUUCAAGCGCGAGGACGUGCCGUACGACAUGAGCCAGCAGCAUGCGCACGCGCACGCGCACCAGCAACACCACCAACAGCACCAAUACGCGCUGCCGCACCAGCAGAAGCGAGACGAAGACAUCUACAAUGGCAUCAAGCGCGAGUGCGAAGACCCGUACUCGUUCGCGGAGGAGGAGGCGGCGAUGUGCGCGAUGCUGCAGCAGCCCGCGCCGCACGCGCUGCUGCACGAGCACCACCUCAUGCACCCGCAGCAGAUGCUGCUCAACCAGCCCAAGAAGCGCGGCCGCAAGAAGAAGAUCAAGGACGAGAACGGUAUGGAGAUAAAGACGGAGGGCAUGGAGGGCGCGCUGGUGCCGCGGCCGGUGAAGGAGCGCAAGAAGCACGACCGGUUCAACGGCAUGAGCGAGGAGGAGGUGUCGCGCCGCACGCUGCCCGACCACCUCGCCGAGAACCUCGACAUCAUCAUUAUCGGCAUAAACCCGGGUCUGUUCGCGGCGUACAAGGGGCACCACUACGCGGGCCCCGGCAACCACUUCUGGAAGUGUCUCUACCUGUCCGGACUCACCAGGGAGCAGAUGAGCGCCGAUGAAGACUACAAGCUGUUGAACUUCGGCAUCGGUUUCACGAACAUGGUGCCGCGGCCGACCAAGGGCUCGGCGGACCUGACGCGGCGCGAGAUCAAGGAGGGCUCCGCGGUGCUGCUGGAGAAGCUGCAGACCUUCCGGCCCAAGGUGGCCGUCUUCAACGGGAAGCUCAUCUACGAGGUGUUCUCCGGCAAGAAGGACUUCUGCUUCGGGAAACAACCGGACACCGUCGCCGGCACCAACACUUACAUGUGGGUGAUGCCGUCGUCGUCGGCGCGCUGCGCGCAGCUGCCGCGCGCGGCGGACAAGGUGCCGUUCUACGCCGCGCUGAAGAAGUUCCGCGACUACCUCAACGGACUCGUCGCGCACGUCGACGAGGCCGAGCUCGUGUUCCCCGACAACACCAGCCGCCGCCCGCAGGAGGAGAUGGAGAUCCGCAGGCUCACAAUGGAGCCGGAACCAGGCGACACGAUCAUCCUGGAGGACGGCACUGAGGUGCCGCUUAAGAAGAAGCGAGGCCGACCCAAGAAGGUGAAGCUGGAGAACGGCGAGACCGCGCCGCCCACCCCCCGCGCCCCGCGCCAGCCGCGACCCCCGCCCACGCUCGACCCCAACGGAGACCAGCCACCCAAGAAGAAGCGUGGUAGACCCAAGAAAAUACGCCCCGAAGAACAACAGUUCCUCAUGCAACAACAACAACAGCAACAGCAACAACAGUCGAACCCCAUGCUGCAGUCGUCGCUGUCGUCGCUGUCGUCGCUGCCGCACGAGCAGGGCUACCUGGCGCCGCACGCGGGCGAGUUCCCGCAGCAGCUCGGCUCGCUGCCGUCGCUGCCGUCGCCGCUGGCGCAGGGCUCGCUGCUGUACUCGCACGCGCACCCCGCGCACCCGGCGCACGCGCACCAGGCCAUGCCCGACGGCGCCGGCUACUUCCAGCCGCAGCCGCAGGCCCAGCCCGCCGGCGGAGACGGCACACCAUGCGACAUGUCCGGCAUGGACUCGCCACUGGACGUGUCGCCCGCCGGCCGCGCCUUCAGCGCGCGCUCGCCCAUGUACGCGCACAGCCCCGCGCACCAACCCUACCACCAUCCGCACCAGCAAUCGAGUCCUGCUCAGCAACCUCGAUUCUCGCAGUCGCCUCAUCCGCACCAUCCACUACCCUACGCACGCUCGCCCGCACCACAGACGCAGUCACGGCCGUACUCGCGGUCUCCGGUGCCGUCGGGCGCGGGGGUGGUGGGCGUGGGAGUGGGGGUGGGAGGCAACACCACGCCGUUCCCGGCCGCGUCGCCCGCAGGCGGCGGCUACACGCCCUCGCCCGCGCACACUCCCUACAGCCACCGCUCCUCGCCUGCGCCCUCCUCACGCACUCCCACAUACACAGACGCGCAUCACUUCCCACAUCAGAGCGGCAGCGGCGGCAGCGCGUUCGGCGGCGAGCUGGGCAGCGAGAUCGGCGCGGCCAUCUCGUCGCCGGGCCCGGUGUCGCCCGGCAUGGCGGCGCUGGACUUCGAGCCGCCGCGCGACCCCGAGCGCGCCGCCAGCCCCGCCAGCGCCGACCUGCACCCCGCCUCCAACUCCGACUCCUCGCUCUCCGACUACAACAAGACGUCGGUGGGCGGCGAGAUGUCGCCGGCGGGCGUGGGCGCGGGCUCGUUCGGCGCGCUGUACGAGGGCGAGCCGCGCCUGCAGUACCCGCACGCGCCGCACGCGCUGCACGCGCAUGCGCACUCGCCCGCCGCGCAGGACAAGGACCACUACCACUACCGGCAGGACCAGGGGAGCGGUGUAUCCGAGAGCCCAAGAUUAGACCAGAUGCACCAGCAUCAAUCCAUGUAUCCCAACAACUUCAACCGGUCGACGCCGCCGGGUCCAGUGGCGGAGGGUCCGUUCUCACCGCUGCCUGCCGCGUUCCGCCCGCCCGAACACCCGCACACGCCACACACGCCGCAUACACCACACACACCGCACACGCCGCUACAUCACCAGCCCGGUUCUCCGGGUGACUACAGCGGCACAGUGAAACCGAAGUCGCAAGACGUCGCGUCCAAGUCCCUGUCGGGUCUGGAAUCGCUCGUGGACCAGAUCCCGUCGAUAGCGGAGGGUCCGGGCGGCGCGGCGGGCGUGGCGGGCGGAGUGGGCGGCGUGGGGGGAGUGGCGGGGGUCGGCGGCGUGGGGGGCGUGGGCGGCGUGAGUGCGGGCGCGACCGAGCAGCCCGCGCCGGCGCCCGUGCCCGCGCUGCCCGAGUACGCGCCCGCGCUCUACGGGCCCUACGGCGCGUACGGCGGCGCCGCCUACGGGAACAACGGGUACGGCGGUCCGUUCGUGGGGUACGGCGGCGGCUGGGGCGCGACGGUGAUGCGGCCGGCGCCGGGCUACCUGCCCGAGUGGCAGUACGGGUACGGCGCGGGGGUGCCGCCCGCCUACGCGCCCUACAACGCGCCCUACUACAACGGGUACGCGCCGCCGCCUGCCCAUCACCAGCAGGUACCCUAGCCAGAACCAUCGCGUCAGUAAGGCGCACUACCUGUCGGCGCCGCCGCUGAUCGACCUGCACAAGAACGGCGAGCACGCGGGCGGCGUGCCGGCCGUGCCCUCCGUGCCCUCCGUGCCGUCCGUCGGCUUCGGCGGCUUCUGUUAGUGCACUCACGCGACCACACUGUACAUACCACACGCGGACUUUUUAUCUGUCGUUUUAACGAGGUACGUGAUUUGUUUCUUUUGUAAGCGAUCGUCAGUAUUGUGGAGGACUGUUUGUGGUUGAAUCUCAGCGCCCGGCGCCGGCCGCGCGGCCGCUGCAGACUGCAGUGCCGGACUGCAGUGAUGUGCUCCCGCGCACGGGCUGCAGCGGCGCGAGAGGCGCCGGCGCCGGCUCGAUAAACUAUAGUGUAAGUAGCGAAAUUGGACUGAUGUAUCGACUCGAAUGGCGGUUUUUUAUCGAAUUAAUACAAUUUUUGUAAAGCAAUCGUUAGUGAUGUAAUUUAAUCUUUUUCAAAUUGAUGAGCUUAAUUUAUAGGUGGUUUAUUUGUAAAUAUUGUAUGUAUUAUUAUUUUGAUUCAUCACAUAUUUCUUUUAUUAUUAUUAUUUAAACUAAUCGCUCGUUACAUCACAGGUUAUAUCGCAAUUUGUAUAACCCUCUAUGUUGUGGACAUGUUUAUCGUAACCCAGUUAGAGCCGCGAAUGAAACAAGAGUAUAAUACAAUAAAACUGGUACCAAAACUUUCGAUGAAAGACUUUGACAAGUCGGAAUGAAAGCGAAUAAAGUUUAAGCAUAUCCACAGUGUGAAGGGUGUGUUUGUGCGCGUGAGCGGCGGCGGUGAGCGGCGGCGGCGAGCGGGCGCGGGUACCGACGUAUUCGGAGAGUCUGUGAUCCUCGUCAUGUCUAACUAACUAAUGGCCAUUGUUAUUGCCAUACGGAAAAAAUGUGUUCGGAAACGUUCGAUAUGGAGUGGCGCACGCGCAGUGCUGUCGGUCGCGGUUGUGUCCGGAGUGACAGCGGUGGCGGUACAUAGAGGCCAUAUUAUGAGACGAUACGAAAUGGGAUUUUCUACUGUCUGUAUGUUGUAACAAUCUAUGUUUCUACGUUUGUAAUAUGAGGCUUAUUAUGUGGCGAAACCGCUACAAAACCCAAGCUGUACAAGCUAACACGAUUGUGAUCUCAUUGGUAUAUAAGAAUGUGACAUUAAUGAUCUUUGUUUAAGUUAAUUAUGAAUUAAAAUAUCUUUUCGCUGUGAUAUUGAGAACUUGGUAUUGGUUUAGUACAGGCGGUAAUUGUUAAACUAACGCGUGGGUCGUGUUAGCUUGCCGGCUGAGAUGGACUUGUUUAGUCGAUGCUGCUUUCCAGUACACAGUUUUUGUGAAUAUGUCCAUAAAUGUGUAAAUUUUACAUAUGACACAGUUAUCGUGGUAUUUGCAGCUCGCUGUGUACUCGCGAGCAGUCUCGAUGUUCGCGCGAGGGACCGACGCUCGUGGGCGGUGCACACUCGUGGCAGAAUCCUUAACAUUUAUUCGUUAUUCAUUUGGGAUUCAGCCAGAAAUUGUUAUACGAAGUCUUGCCAAUGAUGUGUUUCGCUCUAGUCACUUAUUAAUUCGUGUCGGCUAGUCAAAAUGAUAACGUACCCUGCGCCGCACCUCGCCCCCGACACUUGUCGCGCCGAUAUUAUAUAUUAUAUAGAAAAAAAUAUUAUUUUUUGUAUCUAAGUCACAAGAACGGCCUACGAAAGGAAUAACGUAUACUUUUUAUUUUUUAGAAUUUAGUUUGUAAUGUUUUGUGACACUAUUUAUAAUUAGCAUUUUGUAUUCUACUGUCGCAACGAGGCGGCCAUUUUGUCGGCGCGGUCAAUGACUGUCUGUGGUGCGCGGAUAUAAACUUGUGGAUCAUUUUUUAAUGAAUAUUUUAUGAGGUAUUGUAUUUUCCAUGUUACCAACAAUGGUUACUUUUUUUUAUAAAAAAAUAUAUUUUUAAAUCUUUUUAAAAUCCUAUUGUGUUGUUACCAACCGAAAAGAAAUGUGUAAAGGUUUUUUGGCCUUACCUGUAUAAUGAAUUGUAUAAUUAUCCCGUCGAGCACCGCAGAAGGAAGUCAGUGGGCGCGCCAUUGCCAUGGACACCGUGCAUUUUACUAAACGUUACCCGAUCAGUUACAUUAGCUUGGAGUCGCUAGUGAAAUAGCAUAAUUUUACAAUAAUUAUUGAUAACCUAUAUUUUUAUUAUACGCGCCAUUUUAUUAUAAGGCCAUUGACGUGAGAAUAAAUAAUAAUUUAAAACUUGUCGGAAUGCGUCCAGUCUUACAGAAUAUUGUGUUAAAUUGUAAACUGAAAUAGCACAGAUUGCAUUUACUUAUUUUUAUUUUAUUUUGACGUUUUGCUUACACAUUUACACUAUUUGCAAAUCCAAAAACAUUACCACUACGUAUGUUUUGAAUAAUUUGAUUUAUUUAUUAAGUAAAUAUAGCUUUAUAAUCAAAAAAGUACUACGCAGUUAUUUAAAGCUUUAAAAUAUUUUGAUUUAGCCUGAAAACUAAUCAAGGACAUCGCGUAAUUGUGUAGUGAGCGUCGCACGAAAGUUAAUAUUUAUUCUCACGGCACUUCUUGUACCGACUGGUAACAACCUCUAGGUUUAGUUGAACGGUUACGAAGCAUAAUGUUUACAUAGGGUGCUGAUUAGUUGAAUUGUUUCCUCGUUUUUUAUACGAAUGUCGCUCUACAAUAAGUAGUGUUUAGAGUCCUGUAUUACGUGUCGAUGUUGAAAUGUGUACGAGGUGCUAGAUAAGAGUCAUUGAUGACCGGUUAUACUGAUGUUUGAAUAUUUACUGAAGGGGCGACUAAUGUAGAGGUCUAAGAUAUGACAGCUAUACAUUAGCUAACAUUAAAGAAAAUAGUCCUAAUUUUGCACAACUAAUUAUUGUGUUGUUCCUGUAAGGAACUAACAUAACGCUGACAUGAUGUACAUUUCAUAUUACAAAACAUUCGAGCCACGUGACUGGCGCCUUGUACCAUUGAUGCGUUGUAUGUCGUACAAUACGGGAGUUUAUGUUUCAUUAUUAAGUCUUUAGUGUGUUGUUGAUGUUUUAUUUUCCACUUUUUGACGAUAUUUUUAGGUAUUGGGUCGUGUACAGAUAGAUAAAGUAAGGGUCGAUUCACACAAGAGCCAACACGUGCAACGAAUGAGCGUGGCAUCCGUGGGAAGCGCGAUUCGAAUUGCAAUCGAUCGCUUUGUGUCCUCGUUCGUGAAGUACAAUUAUUAUUAUAAGAACGCUCCAAGGCUGUUUUCGAGGCAUUUGUAUCUUUAACUCGUAUUAUUGUAUAGGAUAACUACAGGACUUGGAGAGAAGUUCGACAAUAAAGAUCUCUACAAAGUGGACAUUAGGGUUUUAAAUAUAUACAUUUAUUGCACACGUAGCUCGCCACUGUAAAUUCGUUUCAGGUGUUCGCUUUUUGACAAUCGACAAAUAAGUCCUUCCGCAUACUAUAAUAUAAAACUGUCGGUGUGUAGGCGAUCCGCCUAGUGUAUAAAUAGUGGGUCACAUCUGGAAAGUGAAAAUUCUCUUGUACAAAACAUUUUAUUAAAUUUUUUCUUUGCACAAAAGUCUUAAAAUUAAGCUAAAAACGAAAAUAACAUACGUAAUAAAGACAUAUACUUUUAAUGGUAGGUAUACACGAAUGAAUUUAUACGGUAGUGAAAAGGACGCGUCGGUCACCGGAGAGUUGGUAGGGUCGGUCGGAUUGUGCUCAAUGCUUGAGUUGUGUUCUGUCUCGCCUUCAAAUAGUGCAGCGGUCUCUGGUCUGAGUCUGUGCCACAAGCCACGUGUCGGGUGUGGUAUCAUACGCGCAUCUCUCGAUCUCGCUUCCAUCUACUGCCUACUAUUUAUACUGUACAAUGUACAUCUCGCUGCACUAUUUAAACGCAUACUUAAUUAUUUUUUUCGUAAUGCAGAAGGGGAAAAUUUAUAAGUUUAAAAAUGAAAUCAACAGGGUAUUUAAGAUUGCUUAAGAUUUAUUAUUUUAUAUUUAUUAUUAUUUAAUAAUGCGUGCUUGCUUAGCGCUGUUUUGUUUGGAUUAAGGUUAUUCUGUCGCGCGCCUGUCGUGCGUACAUCGCGCGUUGCGUGUGCGUGUCGUCGGCGGCACGUGGCUAUCGCGCGAUUCUGCCCUUGUAUUUACUUUUUGUUUAUGUUUGACAGCUGCACGGAAACACACGACUUGAAUAUAUUGACAUUUAUAAAAUACUUGGAACAUAGGGUCUAAAUUUGAAUCUCAAUUACACUUAAGCAUUUAAUUAUGUCAAUCAUAAUAAAAUUUAUUGUAUUAAUGGUUCGUACAACUUUGAAGUUGGUGAUGACAUUUCAGUAGAACGAAACAAGCGUUUGUGUGAUUCAGACGUGUUUAUGCAAUGCCAAGUGUUACAUAUUUGACGCUAAAAACAUAUUGCUUCAGUAUGGGCUCAAAGGUAUUUGUAAUUGGUGUAUUUUAAUAUCCGUCAUAUUUUAACUAGAGUUGUGUGGGUGUCGUGCAGCGGUCGGUCGCAGUAACGCCUUUGUACAUAAUGAGUGCUUUAUUACGCUUUUUUAUAUUAUUUAACAAAGUACAUAUUCGUAUUUCUAUUUUUGCUUUAUAUGUUCAUUUCACACGCGGUAUGUGUGGACGGGAUUCUCUUUGGUUACGUGUGUAAUAAGAGUAACAGUAGGUCGAUACCUCGCACAGUGAUAAUUUAUUGUUGGAGCGGAAAUGUUUUUCUUCCGAAAAAUUUCGCCAAACUUUGCCUACUGUUAAUCUUUAUUACACUAUGUUGGGUAAGUUGCGUCGUGGCGGUCGUUGAUAUUGAGAAAAUUACUUUUAACAUUUCGGGACGCUCUGUACUAUACGUUGUGUCUUCUCUUAAGCUCGACCAAGUAAUCUUAAUUCUUCUAGCAGUUUGCGUGUUCAUAAAAGACAACAAACAGUGCUACAAUUUUGAAAAAUGGUUACAAUUAAUCCGAUCCGUAAUACUUUAUAUAAUUUUAGUUACAUCUGCAUCAGUCAAUUGCCACGACGCAUCAACCGCGAACGAUUGAAGGCCUAUCAAACACACGCCACUGUUGUAACCGGGUGCUAGAGCUGUCGUCACAUCACGCGGCGGGAGGCGGCCUUAAAUGUGACCCAAUCUACCGACAGAACGGGGCAAGGGAAUUUAAACUUAAUUAUUUUGAAUUCUAAUAACUUUACAAUUCGUAUUUCAUUAGUAUCAUUUGACAUUUCAUUUAAGAUGAUAUCAAUGGAAAAUUUAUUCUAUAUUUAUUGUUUUAAAAUUAAAAGUAAUGCGACUUUUAAAUCCUAUGCCAUACUGUGCUGCCGAUAAAUUUCGGGAUUAUCAACUGCCUAUCCUCUGUGAUAUUUAUGUGACUGUCCGUGUGACAACCAGUGAGACUGCCAGCUCCCGGCGCGUGAGCAGCUUGCUUCUUUGUAACUUGUGGUUUAUGUGUAGACGGUAGACAAAAACAUUCCAUUGUCUGUGCUAUGGUCUUUACAGACCUCCGACUUGUCUUAACAAGUGCAAAAAAAUCCUUUCCCGUUCCUCCACUUCUGAAAAGAGUGCUGUCUCAUAGCAAAAUACAGUUAGGAGUAUGAUAAACUAAUAGAAUAGCACAAAAUUCACAUGUGUUCCACGCUGGGCUAUGACCAUCAAUGCAGUGGAUCUUGCGUUGUGGUCAAUUCCAUUGGUAAGUCAUUUUUCUAGGCCUGUGCGCUCUGGUACGUAAGUGCCCUAUCUCGACAAAGUAAGUAAUUACUUAAGAAGACACCUUAAAUGUUUGUCGAUGAAUUAUAAGCCGUACUUUAAACGAACUGUAUAUUUAAAUGAAGCGCGUCAAAGUAGUGUUUUUGUGUCGCAGUCUACACGUGCGUUAGUUGUAUUUCAAGUUUCCUUAUCGAAUAGGUUUUUUGGCGAAUUCCUUUACGCAACGGAGUGCAAUGUCGGGAGAUUAGUGUUUUGUCUCGUGUCUGAUUGUUGUAUUAUUGUAUUUUUAAUAUUAUUGAGUUGCGAGUUGUGUCACAAUGAACGCUGUAGAUGGUUGGUGAUAUACCACAGAGCCUGUUCAACUAUAAGUGGUGUUCGCCGCUGGGGGGUGCGACGAGACGGACGUGCAUGUCUUGUACAAAUAUUCGACGAAUUAUAGCAUUAGUCAAAGAUAUUUGUACACCCAGAUCAGCUGCGAAUAUCGCGUGUAGAUCGAACGUGAUUUGAUGCUGACGUUUAGUGACAAUAUCGUAUCCUCAGGCAAAGAACGCAAGUCUUAUUAAUACUUUCAUUGUUAGCCUGAAGACAUGAAAUAUUUGUUAAUUUAUUUCGGUAAACAAUUUUGGAGGCAUUUAAUAAAAAUUCACAGACCAUCUGUAACGUUUAUUUUGUGAUCCUCUCGCACCGGACCGUUUGGCAUAAACGAGUGACUUUCGACUUUCCUAUCAGGUGCAUAAAGUUUAGGAUUGUAUGAUAUUAGCAGCGAGUGGAGUCAGGACGUGCUGGACUAACUUUUAGAUUUUAGUGCGCGAGGUUAGGACGUAAAUUCGGUGGUGUUGCCGCGUUGUAUUUGUGCUUCUAUUGUAAAUUCGGUUUGUUGUCUAUACAUACAUGCUAAGAACAUAACGUAUUGUGAAACGUCUGUUGUAUAUCUAUAUUUACAUUUUGUUAUUCAAUAAUAGAAUAAAAAUAAUGGUUUGCUAUUUUUAAACAUUUUACGAAACGUUUUAAUAUGGCGACCGAAUUUACGCUCAAAUACAUACGCGUUCUUAAUAAUAAGUCUCUAUCAACGAGUUAGUGUUAGUGUGUACACGUGUUGUUCGCGGACGAGGCGCGGGCGCGGGCGCGGGCGCGGGGAGCGGACGCGGCUCGGCGGCGCGCGCGCCUCGCCGGCGCCUUUAUCUCCUUACAUGUCGCUGCUCGCGUGCGAGUGGACUUCACACGACUCGUUCGCAAUAUAGUGGCUUGGAACUCUUUCUCCUUCAUGGCAGUCGGUAAAAUCACAUAAAUAAAAACUAUCAUUCAUAAUAUGAAUUACUUAAUUAGGCUUCUUUUAAAUAAAAUACAAACAUUACCUAUAUUCUUAUCAAUUGUAGAGUUGUAAGCCACGUUACUGGGAACAUUUUAAAAACACAUUGUACUUAAGGUUGUAAGCGUGUGCAGUCCACCAGCAAGCGAUCAGCUUUUAGUUAUGGGCGGCUUAGACUGUCAGUUUUGACUGCAUAAGUUAAUUAAGAAUUACAAUAGGUCUAUGCCAGUUAUAUUAAAUCUCCAGUGUAUUAAUUUCAGUAAUAAUGAAUGAAUUAUUAAACCUAUUGAUUAUAACACGGUCUAAAAUAACGAAGCAAACUGAUGUCAGUCAAGGCUGGCGGUGUAGCGCGUCUCUUAGGGUUGACCAGUGUAUGCAUUGAGUCGCUCAACUAUUUGUACAGUAUGUAUAUUUUUGUAAAAUUCACUUUUAACUUGCGGUGGCAAUAUUAUGAAAUUUUAAAAUUUAUCUAUAAUAUUAAAACUUAGUACAAUUGUUACGCAGUUACUUUGACCACUGGGGUUUUGUUUUGUAUAAUCUGUCGUUAUAAACUUGUGAGUACAGAAACUAAGGCUAAACUUAAAUCCUCAUGAAAUGUUAAACCUGUCUACGAUUAAUUGUUUCUAUGAAUAAAUCAAUGUUAAAAUGACUGCCUUUAUUACAAUCUGAAUACAAGUUAGUUUGGUGAUAUUGAUGUUAAUACAUAGUUGCACGACUCACAAGCUCGCACUGAUGUCGAACACAGGAGCAGACCGUAUGCGGACGUCCUUAUCUGCAGUUCCAAACAUUGUUGCCUGCGAGUAUCAUCAAACCUUUUGAACAUUAUCACUAAUUAAUAUAAAGCUUCAUUUGGACUGUAAAAAUAGAAUACAAAUGCUUAUCCAAAAAUGGUUUGGGACUGAGAUGAGGAGCGCCAAUACAAGCUGCUCGUUAGAGUUUUACGAUAACGCGCCUUCGCGCACUGCUUGGUUGUGAAUUAGUGUCGCUUACGGUUCCCUACUCCGUCUGCUGUCCGCUGCGAAGUAUUCGCUUAACCAGUAUUGUCGUGCCAAAAAUGUAUGCGCCUCGAUUCCUGCACCCUCUACGCGUCCAGGUUCGGUCCCGCACCUGACUAUACCGGGUCGGGGUAAGAACCAUAGCUGACGCUUCUGAGUGCGGGAAUAGAGGACCGGAGCUUUGAAGCAAUAACGUAUCAACUUAGUCUCAAAUCGAAAGCAAUAAUGACUGGGCCGCGAAGCUGCAGUUUAUUUUACAAAAUUCACCCUCUAUUCGAAUAUAAGGAAUCAUUUUUCAUUGCCAAAAUUGUACUUUUUCAGAUUCUUGUGAUAGCAUUUAGUGCAAACAUGUGUAUCUUUCCGCCAGGUCUAAUAAUACCUGUGCAGGAAUUUAGAUUAUGUAACCAAUGUCCAUUAUAGAACAUUGCAUCCAUAGUAAUACUGUAAUCCGAUCAUUUUGUUCGUCAUAUGUAUGCCUUUAUUAUGUUCAGAUGUUGUACUAUUGGAACCAAUUUUCAUAUUUAUUUCUAUGUUUUCAUCAACAUAAGAUGCGAAUAAAAAGUAUCGCCAAAAUAUCAAAAUUGUGUCCAUUACAGCAACGAUCAGGCGGAGUUAGAUCCUAGCUCAAUUUUAUUAAACAAUAAUUAUAUUAUUGUACUUGCUUGUUAUUUGUCGUUGGAACUGUAGUCAAUUCCCCUUGGCUGACUACACACAAUGUGUACAUCGAUUCCACACUCCCGCCGUUACGGGCAUCGAACUUUUAAGUUUAGCGUUGUGCAGUAUUCUAAAACAAUUCAAUUUACUAUAUACUUGCCAGUCAAUUGACAUAAAUGAACAUCUCAGCCAGGCAUAUGUUGUCUAGCUAUCUUAAGUGGGUCGGAAGCAUAAAGCGAGUGUGUGGAACCGACGUGGCAUCAAAUGUGUCGGCCCAAGUUUCAUUCCACAGCCUGCAUUACUCAAAUAACUCGCAUUUUCUUAACACGGUGCUUGUUUUUGUAUAUAACGGACGACGCGACGCGGCAUUGCUCUUCUUAUAUUGUCACUUUGAAUGUACUUAAUAAAAUUUAGUCAAGGAAUGAAAUUUUCCGUUGUUGGAGUGUUCAAGUUUUUAUAUAUACUUGUAUUAGUUUUGUGCUAGUUUCGUUGUUAGAUUUGACGACGUUGUGUACUUAAUCGUACGAUGCAGUACUUAGACGUUAUUGUAAUAUUAAAUGCUGUUGUAUGGCGGACACGCCCCAUAGUUUAAACUCGUGGCCGCUGCUCGUGCGGGCCACACGUUAUGUAUGAUACAAGUAUGUUGCAUAUGAUUUGAGAGUCUCAGUAGCGCGUUGAGUUGUCGAUCCCAAUGAAUAGUCAAUUAUUCGGGAGAGCGCCGCGUCCCGUCGCCGUCAGCUCGUUUAAAGUACAAUUUACCUUAUAAUCUCGUAUUAUUAUUAGUUGUAAUUGAUGUUUGUACACUACUGUCACUGUUGAGCGGUGGUGAGCGGUGGUGGGCGGUGGCGAGCCGCACGUCGCCGGAGCGCGGCCGGAGCGCGGCCGGCGCGCGUCCGAGCCGCGCUCCCGUUAUAUUGAUACAUACCUACGCUAGCAGUAAACACUCAUGUUUGUACAGUUUUUAACGAUAACACUACUUCUCGUAGGUGAAUAAGCAAGAAAUAUUUUUUAGUAUAAUAAGAUCUAAUCGAAUUACAUCAUAGUGUAACAUAAUAAAGUACUCGAGGUUAACGAAAUUUCAUUUUCAAACUUUCUACGGUCCUUCGUUUAAUGAUCGUAUCGGAAAUUGACUCAGUGGAGUGUAAUUAGAAAUAAACAGGAAAAUUUUAAAUGAUGAGAUACAACUUAAAUAAUGGAUAAGUAAUGUAUUAUAAAUAGUUUUAAGGUAAAAAGUUAUUAUUAACAUUGUAUGGAAAAUUGUGACAAAAUUAUAGUCAUUUGUAAUAUU
rnacentral:miRNA from 1 species